GACGAACGCUGGCGGCGUGCUUAACACAUGCAAGUCGAGCGGUAAGGCCCUUUCGGGGGUACACGAGCGGCGAACGGGUGAGUAACACGUGGGUGACCUGCCCUUAGCUCUGGGAUAAGCCUGGGAAACUGGGUCUAAUACCGGAUAUGACUCCAUAACGCAUGUUGUGGGGUGAAAGCCUUGUGCGGCUAGGGAUGGGCCCGCGGCCUAUCAGCUUGUUGGUGGGGUGAUGGCCACCAAGGCGACGACGGGUAGCCGGCCUGAGAGGGCGACCGGCCACACUGGGACUGA
rnacentral:rRNA from 1 species